rnacentral:rRNA from 1 species
UUAUUUAAAAUCAAAAGCACUUAGUGAAUAUCUUGGUAAAUAGUAAAAAGGACGUCGUGCGACGAAACAUUGUAUGUAGGCAUUAGCUUGUGAUAUACAAGUAUCCUUAUUCUAGGAAAACCUUUAAUUUUUUUAUAAAAUAGUGUGAAUUGACUCAUCUUAGUAACGCUAAUAAAAAAUCAAAAGAGAAUUUGUUAGUAAUGGUGAAUGAAAACAAAGAUAGCUUGUUUAAUAAUUUUUUAGAAAUUCUUUAAAAGGUUCAAGUCCUGUAUAAAAAAUGAGUUAAACGUAUUAAAUAAUGUGGAAUUUAAUCUGCAUGAAUAUAAGAGAACCACCUUUUAAGCUAUACAUAUACUAUUAACCGAUAGUGGACAAGUACCGUGAGGGAAAGGUAAAAUAUUUCGAAAGAAAUUAAAUUUGAAACUAUGUGUUUAUUUUUGAAGUUUUUAAAAAACAACAAAAUGCCUUUUGUAUAAUGAGUUAGUAAGUUAAAAACCAUAGCAAGCUUAUAGUUGAAUACAAACGCAAAAAAGUUAUGUUUUUUAGACCUGAAGCCAAGUGAUCUAAUUGAGGGCAGGAUAAAAGUUUAUUAAUCUAAACUUGAAGACCAUACUCGUACAUGUAGCAAAAUGUAGAGGUGACUUUUAAUUAGGGGCGAAAGACCAAUCAAACUUGGCGAUAGCCGGUUUUUCACGAAAUGUAUUUUAGUACUGUGUUACUACAAACGUAAACUGAAGGUAAAGUACCUACUGAAUAAUGGGGUAAAUAGACUUACUGAAUUUAGUUUAACUUUUAAUUUUAGUUUAACUUUAGUAACAAACAGUCUUUAGGCGAUAAGGUUUAAAGACGAAAGGAAAACAAUCCAGACCGUAUAUUAAGAUCUUAAAAUUAUAGUUUAGUGAAAAAAGUCUUUACUUUAUUCAAAUAAAUAGAAUAAGCUUAGAAGCAGUUUUUUAUUAGAGAAAGCGUUUUAGCUCAAUAUUUUUUUGUAAAGACUGAAAAUAAAAGAAGACUCUAAACUUUAUAUCGACAUAGCGGAUUAAAAACUAUUUUGUUUUAAUGGUAGUGAAACGUUUUGUUUAGUUCUACUAAUGGAAAUUAGUAGUAAAAUUCAGAAGUGCUAAUGCUAACAUGAGUAGCGAAAACUAUGUAAAAAACAUAGUCAUCUUAAAUCUAUGGUUUUCAAUGUAAUUUUUUGUACAUUGAGUUAGUCGGUCCCUAAAAGGAAGAAUGAAUAUUGUACUUGAUGGGAAAAAGUCUUACUAUAUGCAUAAAUCAAUAUUUUAUUGUGAAAAGAAUUAAUAUCUUGGAUAAUUUGAUAAGGUAAAAUUGUUCAAUAGUUUUUUUCUCGAGAAAAAUUUAUAGUACAAAAACCGUACUUAAACCAACACAGGUAGAUUUUUUAUUGAAUAAGAUGAAUGAAUAAAUUACACUGAAGGAAUUAGGCAAAUUUACUCUGUAUGUUAGCUAUAAAGAGAGCUGAGAAUUAAUUUCAGUAACAUUAACUAAAAAGCAACGACUGGUUACCAAAACCACAGGACUCUGCAAAUUAGUAAUAAAAAGUAUAGAGUCUGACGUCUGCCCAGUGCUUAGAAGUGAUGUAGUUUAAGUGGUAGUGCUUGAAUUUUAAUCUUAAGUAAACGGCGGUUCUAACUAUAAGAAUCCUUAGGUAGCGAAAUUCCUUGACGGGUAAAUUCCGUCCUGCAUGAAUGACGUCACGAUUGCUUUACUGUCUCCAGUGUAACUUCAGCGAAAUUACAUAAUCCAUGAAAAUGUGGAUUUUCUACAGUAAGACGGAAAGACCCUAGAUCCUUUACUCUAUUUUUGUAUUGUAAAAUAUUAAAAUAAGGUGUAGAAUAAGUGGGAAUGUGUUAAACAUGAAUAGUGAAAUACCACUUUUUAUUUUAAUUUUUACUAAUUUAUUAAAUUAAAAACCGUACAAGAAGGGGAGUUUGCUUGGGACGAGAACCUCCUAAAAAGUAACGGAGGUGUGCAAAGGUGGGUUUCAAAUGUUUAUUUAUAAAUAGUGAAGCGUAUAAUGGCUUAAACUUGCUUAACAAUAAGAUUGAUAAAUCCAAUUGAAACUAAAGUUUGCCAUAGUGAUCCGGUAAUUAUGUGUGGAAAUAAUAUCGCUUAACAAAUAAAAGGAACUCUAGGGAUAACAGAUUUAUUGUGGUUGAGAGUUCUUAUUGAUGCCACAGUUUGAUACCUCGAUGUCGACUCAUCUUAUCCUAAAAUUGAAGUAGAUUUUAAGGGUCUAGUUGUUCGCUAGUUAAAAAGGUACGUGAGUUGGGUUCAGAACGUCGUGAGACAGUUCGGUCCCUAUCUGCUGUAGAAGUAGAAAAAUAAAGAAAACUGUUUUUAGUACGAGAGGACCAAAGCAGAUUAACCACUGGUGUAUUGAUUGUUAUACCUUUAGCAGUGUCAAGUAGCUACGUUAAUUUUAAUAUAAGUGCUGAAAGAAUCAAAAGCAUUAAAAUAAUUCUUUAGUUUUUCAAGAGAUUUCUGAAAGAAAAUCAGAUAGAUCGAUUUAAAGUUAUUUUUUAGUAAUAAAAAACUAACUUAUAAAAACGAAUAUUCCAAAAAAUUAAUCU